AUUGAACGCUGGCGGCAGGCCUAACACAUGCAAGCCGAGCGGAUGAGUGGAGCUUGCUCCAUGAUUCAGCGGCGGACGGGUGAGUAAUGCCUAGGAAUCUGCCUGGUAGUGGGGAACAACGUUUCGAAAGGAACGCUCAUACCGCAUACGUCAUACGGGAGAAAGUGGGGGAUCUUCGGAACUCACGCUGUCAGACGAGCCUAGGUCGGAUUCGCUAGUUGGUGGGGUAAAGGCUCACCAAGGCGACGAUCCGUAACUGGUCUGAGAGGAUGAUCAGUCACACUGGAACUGAGACACGGUCCAGACUCCUACGGGAGGCAGCAGUGGGGAAUAUUGGACAAUGGGCGAAAGCCUGAUCCAGCCAUGCCGCGUGUGUGAAGAAGGUCUUCGGAUUGUAAAGCACUUUAAGUUGGGAGGAAGGGCAGUAAGUUAAUGCCUUGCUGUUUUGACGUUACCAACAGAAUAAGCACCGGCUAACUUCGUGCCAGCAGCCGCCGUAAGAC
rnacentral:rRNA from 1 species